ensembl:lncRNA
UUCCAACCCCCUUCUAACCCCCCUUAAACCUUUCCCCUUCCCCCCCCGCAGCCCCCUGGAGCGCCUGGCCUUGGACCAAAUCCUUGGUUUCAUCCUCAACGUCCCCUCCCACAUCUCUCUGGGUUUCCUUUCCCUCCCGUUCCGCCGCCAGCACUGGUUGGCAGUCAGGCAGCUGGGGGGCAUUUAUUACAACCUCGACUCCAAACUCCGUUCUCCGGCGCCCAUCGGAGGCGAGGAAGAACUCAGGCCUCUGCGAAGUCUUCCUCGUCGUCCCCCGUGCCGUGGAGGAGGCAGGAGCGUGGCUGAGCCCCGAGUGACAACAACCACCUCGUGCCACUUCGGCUUGAAACUGUCCCCUUUUUUUUGGGGGAGCGUUGCUCUGAAUCUGGAUGGGGUUGGGGUGCCCCUUUCACCCCCCCCUACCCCUUCCCCUCACUCCCCUCCCAACCACCGGCUGUUGUGGGGGCUUGGAUUUCCUGAUUUCGCCCCAAUUCUGUGCUUCCCCGUGGCACCGACUGUGUGACGACGGUGGUGCUUUGGUUGUGUGGCUCCUGGCUGCUCUGCGUGUCACCCUCCCUGCUGCCUGUGUCACACCUUGUCACCCACGGCGGCGCCCCGCUGGUGGUGGAUGUCACCCUAUGGAGGAUGUCACCCUAUGGAGGAUGUCACCCUAAGGAGGAUGUCACCCUAUGGAGGUGGAUGUCACCCUAAGGAGGAUGUCACCCUAUGGAGGUGGAUGUCACCCUAUGGAGGAUGUCACCCCAUGGAGGAUGUCAGUCACCAUCUCGAUGUCACCUGGAGGCAGAUGUCACCCUGCGAUGGAUGUCACCCCAUGGACGAUGUCACCCCAUGGUGGAUGUCACCCCAUGGAGGAUGUCAGUUGCUGGCUCGAUGUCACCUGGAGGAGAAUGUCACCCCAUGGCUCACUGGAUGUCACCCUAAUGGAUGUCACCCCAUUUGAUGUCACCCAUUCGGAUGUCACCCCAAUGGGUGUCACCCCAUUAGAUGUCACCCCACUGGAUGUCACCCCAUUUGAUGUCACCCCAUUCGAUGUCACCCCAUUGGACGUCACCCCACGGCUCAAUGGAUGUCACCCGAUUGGAUGUCACCCCAUUGGAUGUCACCCUAAUGGGUGUCACCCCAAUGAAUGUCACCCAUUCGGAUGUCACCCCAAUGGGUGUCACCCCAUUGGAUGUCACCUGCUGUGACCUCAGGGCACGCGUGGCCUUUGCUUUGUACCCGCCUGGGAUUAAUUACCCUUUGGAAAAGUGAUUAAAAAUGCUAAUUUACAUCUCUGCGAACCCCGAGUGGCGUUUUGGGGUCCCCAAACCCCAUUCCUAGACAGAACCGCCGAGUGGAUCCAUAACGCGCAUGCUGAUUGGCUACUUGCAGAGCACGCCUUCGCUCUCGGCCAAUCCCUGCGCGCCUUUCAGAACCGCGGGGGCGGGCCUACCCGUCUGGCCCCGCCCCUCUCGGGGGCGUGUAGCCAAUCAGGGCGGCCGUAGCAUUUUGACGUCUCAGCUCCGCCAAUGGCGUUGUGAGAAACAUAACGAGCAAGGCUUCCGUCCCUCCCUGGUGGUCUAGUGGUUAGGAUUCGGCGCUCUCACCGCCGCGGCCCGGGUUCGAUUCCCGGUCAGGGAAGAUUUGUUUUCUCUCUUUUCUCCCCAUUUUGACCCAUUUCUUCCUAUUUUUUUUUAUCCUUUGGGCCAUUUUCUUCCUCCUUUUUACCCUUUCCUCCUCUUUUUCUCCCUCUUUUCUCCCCAUUUUGACCCUUCCCCAUUUCCCCCUUUGUUUCCUCCUUUUCAGUUUUCCUCCUCCUUUCCAUUUCCCCCCCUUUUUCCUCCUCCUUUUGCAUUUUUUUCCUUUUUUUCUCCUAUUUUUUUCAGUUUUCCUCCUAUUUUUCCCCUUUUUCCCUCCUCAUUUCGCUCUUUUCCUCCUUUUUCUGUAUUCUUUUCCCCCUUUUCCUCCUAUUUUGCCCCAUUUCCCCCAUUUUUUCCUCCCCCUUUUUCCUCCCUGCCCUUCCCCAUUUUGCCCAUUUCUCCAUGUUUCCUCCUCAUUUUCACUUCAUUUCUUCUCUCUUUGAAACUUUUUCCUCUCUUAUCCCCCUUUUCACUCCUCCUCCCCCUCUUCCUCUUUUCCUUUUGACAUUUCUCUCCCAUUUCUCCCCUUCAUUUUGAUUUCCUCCCCCCUUUUUCCUCUCUCCUUUUU